rnacentral:rRNA from 1 species
UACGGGGGGGGCAAGCGUUGUCCGGAAUCAUUGGGCGUAAAGAGCGUGUAGGCGGCCAGAAAAGUCCGCUGUGAAAACUCGAGGCUCAACUUCGAGCUGUCGGUGGAAACUUUCUGGCUAGAGUCCGGAAGAGGAGAAUGGAAUUCCUGGUGUAGCGGUGAAAUGCGCAGAUAUCAGGAGGAACACCAAUAGCGAAGGCAGCUCGCUGGGACGGUACUGACGCUAAGGCGCGAAAGCGUGGGGAGCGAACAGG